rnacentral:lncRNA from 1 species
AAAGUACAAAGUGUACAACCACUACCUCCACGACUCUGCUUGUGUCUACGCUACAAGACAAGAAAAACAGCUCUUCCUGCAGAAAUGUUCCUUCAAGAUAGGAAUGGAUUUGAACAUGAUCCUUCAUAGGACAACUUCCAAAUCAGGCAAAAGAUCAUUGGUAUUUGAUCAAGGUUUCUCAACGACUCUAUUGACGUGCUUAAAGAUCUCAACGACUCUCUCACACCUCUAUAUAAAGGAGUGAAGACUUGAAGAUCAGCAGAGACAAGACAACAAGUUAAAAGCGUCCAAACUCUGCCAAAUUUGUUU